UACGGAGGGUGCAAGCGUUAUCCGGAUUCACUGGGUUUAAAGGGUGCGUAGGUGGGCAGGUAAGUCAGUGGUGAAAUCUCUGGGCUUAACUCAGAAACUGCCAUUGAUACUAUCUGUCUUGAAUACCGUGGAGGUCAGCGGAAUAUGUCAUGUAGCGGUGAAAAUGCUUAGAUAUGACAUAGAACACCAAUUGCGAAGGCAGCUGGCUACACGAAUAUUGACACUGAUGCACGAAAGCGUGGGGAUCAAACAGG
rnacentral:rRNA from 1 species